rnacentral:misc_RNA from 1 species
UACGGAGGAUCCAAGCGUUAUCCGGAAUCAUUGGGUUUAAAGGGUCCGUAGGCGGGUGCGUAAGUCAGUGGUGAAAGUCUGCAGCUUAACUGUAGAAUUGCCUUUGAUACUGGUCGUCUUGAGUCGUUAUGAAGUGGUUAGAAUAUGUAGUGUAGCGGUGAAAUGCAUAGAUAUUACAUAGAAUACCGAUUGCGAAGGCAGAUCACUAAUAAUUCACUGACGCUGAUGGACGAAAGCGUAGGUAGCGAACAGG